UACGUAGGGGGCAAGCGUUGUCCGGAAUCCUUGGGCGUAAAGCGCGUGUAGGCGGCUCGGUAAGUCUGCUGUGAAAGUCCAGGGCUCAACCCUGGGAUGCCGGUGGAUACUGUCGAGCUCGAGUCCGGAAGAGGCGAGUGGAAUUCCUGGUGUAGCGGUGAAAUGCGUAGAUAUCGGGAGGAACACCAGUGGCGAAGGCGACUACCUGGCCUGUUCUUGACGCUGAGGCGCGAAAGCUAGGGGAGCAAACGGG
rnacentral:rRNA from 1 species